GCUGCCCCUAGAGAUGUUGCAGGCGUGGAUGCUGCAUCACGUGGGUGGCAGGAGGUGGCAGAGAGGAGAGAGGUCAUGUCUAUGCUCAGUGUUCUGACCUAUAAACAUCUGAAGGAUUAGCAGCCUAACAGU